UCUCUCUCAGCCCAACUCACCUGACAGAGUUGUUGUCGUGGGGAAAAUAGGAGGAGGCAGGAGUAUUACAGUAGGCUCCCAUGGAAACUGGGCAACAAUGGAAAUUCUUCAAAGGAAAACUCUUCCAAGGAUGAACCGCUGCUGCUCUCCAGUUAUGAUAAUGCUUCCGGCCCAGGAGGAAGAGACAAAGGACUCCCUCGGCAACCCAGCCCUCUUCUAAACUGCUGAAACAACAGAAGGUGGACAGAUUUGUUACAAGUAAGCGAACCUCAUCAGUAAAUUAUGAUUCCCCAACUUAUUUAUUAAAUAGAAAGGAUUCUUUGGAGUGGGACUUACAGGCUGAGAUAGAGAGUCAGCAAUUGUUGGAGUUUUCUUCAUCAUUGAUAGAAAAUGCUUCUUCCCCAGAGGCUGUUGCUGUCUGCACAGCUGCUGAACAAUUAAAUAAGGAAGGACUCCUUGAUCAUAAAAGCUUGGAAAUCCAGAACUCAUUGGAAUUUAUAACCAGACACAGUCUAUUGACGGCACAGACAGUUCUCUCAAUCUUUGAUUUACUGACUAUGAUCAAAACUCAAGUUGAUUCUGUAAGAGACUCCCUGGUUGAAUUUGGCAUGAGUCUUGCAAAUCAAACUGAGGCCUCUGAUAAAGGGCUUGCACCUGCACCGCUCCUCUCAGUCAGGCUGCGGAGGAAAGUUAACCUCAGCCUCUGAAGUUAACCCUAUAUUAGGAGCUAAAAGGGAAGAUAAGAAAAUUACAAACAUCUGUAUAGAAAGGGAUGAAAAGGGUAAAAAACCUGUAUUAGGUAAAUGUUACUUACAACCCAAUAAGACAGCCCUUCAAAUACAAAUAGAAUUAAUGGAGGCAAAUGGGAGUUGAAAAGAGCUAUACUGCAAUCAUUAAGUCAGUUACUACGAUGUGAGAAAUGAUUUGUGGAUUUACAAAAGAUAGACUGGCUACCAGCCAGAGGCAGCUUUAGACGGAUUCUCUUGACUUUCGGUCUUUCUGUGAUACCAAGUAUGCUUCUAAAAAUGAAACCUUUUUUGAAUACUUUCUCAAUAUUCCCAAUUCAAGUUCUUCAUUCAGAGGAAGUUAGUCCCCUUAUAAUUCAGCAUAGUCAAGAGAGUGUUAGAAAUUUAACUCAUAGUAGAAAUACUCCUGCAGAUAAAUCCAAGGACACCUCAUUAAUGGAGACUAUGCCAAGGAACAAUAAUAGUAAACAUUCUCUCCACCCAAUACCAACUCAGUUGCCUCCUGUUCCUUUAGAAUGGAACUUAAUUAACUUAUCCAGUGCUCCACCAGAUAAUAGACAAGUUGAUACACUUAAGAAAUUAAAUGACUUAAAAGGAGCUUUAAUGGCAACUUGCCACACAGCGAACCCUCUAUUAAAUUUAACACCUCAAACAAUGCAAGAAAAUUCUCACUUGGGACAAUAUGAAUGCACUGAAAAGAGAGAGCAAACUAGCCGUAGGCAGAAAGCUGUCAAUGAGAACCAUGAACUACAAAAUCCAGAUGUAAUAUCUGAGAUAGAGGAGCCUUUUGCUCUCACUACAAGUAUUAAUAUCACACAGAAGCAAGUGGAAACAACUAAAGCAAAAAUUAUUACAGUGGCCCAAGUUCACGAGCAACCCUUAGAAAUUUCCAACCUUGGCUCUUUAGAAGAUGGGGAUACGGAUGGGACCCAUUUGGGUCAUAAAGAGGGUUUGUCUAGAUCAAGGAUAUUAACACAUAUGGCCUGAUGGUACGCAGACCAGUGUAAGAUAAAUCCCCUGAAAAUUAUUUUGUGGAAUAUAGCCGGAUGGUAUCGUAACAAAGGCCUUAACCAUUUAGAUCAUUUGUUAGAUACGGAUGUCCUUUUGCUUCAGGAAACUUGGACAGCUGAUGAUCUUGUAUUCAAUGGCUAUUAUUCGUACAAGUUGGCGGCAACUGCUGGCAGAGGGCCAGGGCGGAUGAAAGGUGGACUGGGAAUUCUUAUUUCUACCGCUCUGAGAGUAAGCCAUAAAUCCAUUCAGCCACUUAAUCAAAUAACUAUGGCUAUACUCUUAGAUCUGGGAAAUAUUUCCUUAUUAAUUAUUAAUGUGUAUCUCCCGCCAAUACAAAGAAGAGCCAAAAUAGAGGCAAUGUGGUCAGAUCUAGAGCAGUACGUGGAAAACCUCCUUUUGGAAUAUCCUAGUGCCUCGGUACUACUCGGGGGGGGGGGGGACGACUUUAAUGCCAGGCUAGGUCCUGAUGACCAAACACUGUUCUCCAAAUUUCAGCAGUAUCCACCAACCCAUUCUCCUAAUUUAUCUGAUGCCACUCUUGUACGCCUCUUCAAAGAUAAAAGAUCUAACUAUGCUGGGAUUUGUCUGGCCAAGUUUGCAAACAAGUUUAAUCUAUACAUACUAAAUGGCUCCAUGAAAAGUGAUCACCCAGGAGAAUAUACAUUUAUGGCUGGAACUAGGGAAAGUACUAUUGAUUAUAUGCUAGUCUUAUUAAUUCAUUACAUUCAAUGGAGUCCUUUAAGGUGCUUCUGCAUCUAGAAAAUGACCAUCUUCCUUUAUGUCUACAUUUGAAGAUACCUACUAGUCAGCUGCGGCCGGAGACAUAUUUUAUCCCUGUCAUUGUACCAGCAGGACAAAUAAGUUGUCAUGCCAGAUGGACCUUACAACUUGAUCAAAGGGUGAGGAAGACAUUGGCAGAGGAUGAUCUACAAACAAUUCAAUCAUCGUUUGUGUCUCCCAAUACCUCACAAGACCCAUUGAUUUUGUAUAAAACUUUAAUACAAAAAUUACAACCGGUAUUGACUCGCAUUACUAACCCUGACAGCAAAAGGUUUGUGACUCUCUCUAAGACAUGGUUCGACAAAGAAUGUGUUAAAGCUAAGAAAGCCCUCCCUGCAGCUUAUCGCUUAUAUAAGUCUAUUAACAACACAAAUACAAAAUCUCUCGAACACCUCCUUGCUAGCAAAAAACAGUAUGAGAGAUUGGUGGCUGAUAAGAAGCAGGAGGAUAUGAAAACCACGUGGAAACGUCUUAUUGAAGCUGCCAAACUGAAGAACACCUCUUUUUUGGCAACUAUUAUCCAAUCAGACUGUCAGAUCAUCUACUAUUCUAGACUCUCACAUUUCACCAGAGGUGUGGGAAUACCAUUUCCAGAAAAUGUAUGAGGAUCCUAACAAUGCAAUGUUGACACAAAUGAACGAAGGUCUAAUCGAGUGGCCCUCAGUCUCGGUGGCUGAAAUCAAAUUUCUUAUUGGACAACUUAGAAAAGGGAAGGCUCCGGGAAUGGAUUUUAUUUCAGCGGAAGUAUUAAAGAAUAAUGUUGAAUGGUGGUCCCCAAUUUUAGCAUCACUUUUUACCUAUAUUGAUAAUUCAGGGAGAAUCCCAGAGGAUUGGGGCCUGGCUAUUAUAGUCCCGAUUUUUUAAAAAGGGAAGAUAAAUGAUCCUGCCAAUUACCAACCUAUUAGUCUACUGAAUAUAAUUAGUAAGCUAUAUGCUAGACAUUUGCAAGGAAAACUCAAAGACUGGCUGGACCAGAGAAAUCUUAUAGCGGACGAACAGGCUGGCUUUAGAGAGGGCAGAGGAACUAUUGAACAAUGCCUGAUUCUUCAACACUUGAUUGAAAAAUAUUGUUUCAACAAGAUAACAUCAUUGUAUGCUGCUUACAUAGACUUAAAGGCCUAAGCUGUGGGAGAAGUUGGAAGCCGCCUCAAUAGAUAGCAGGCUUCUCUACCUAAUACACUCAGAUACGACCUUGAAGGUCAGGUGCAAUAGAUCUGGGUCACCGUCCAAGCCGAUUAAAGUACAAAAGGGGGUGAAACAGGGUUGCAUUUUGGCUCCCCUUCUUUUUAACUUUUACAUUAAUGAUAUGGUAAGAUGCCUAAGUCACCCAGACUUUCAUCCUCCUAAAUUAGGGGACCGAAGUAUUGCCCUGCUGCUGUAUGCAGACGAUGCGGUCAUACUCUCCAGGACUCCUAUAGGCCUCAAGAGAGCUUUGACAUCCUUGGCCCAAUAUUGUAUUAAUAAUCAUAAAUAAAUUAUCAGAAAACAAAGAUAAUGACCUUCGCUAAAAGGCCGAAACUUCGCUCCUGGCAUAUAAACGGGCACAGAAUAGAGCAAGUGACAAACUUCAAAUACCUAG